rnacentral:rRNA from 1 species
UGAGUACGAGAUGCUACGGCAUCGAAGCAGUCUAUGUCAUACUUCCAAGAAAAGCUUGCACUGUCAUAAACAAAGAAUGCCUGUACCAUAACCGACACAGGUGGGUAGGUAGAGUAUACUAAGGGGCGCGAGAUAACUCUCUCUAAGGAACUCGGCAAAAUGACUCCGUAACUUCGGGAGAAGGAGUGCCUUAUUUCUAAGGUUGCAAUAACAAGAUCCAAGCAACUGUUUACCAAAAACACAGGUCUCCGCUAAGUCGUAAGACGAUGUAUGGGGGCUGACGCCUGCCCAGUGCCAGAAGGUUAAAGAAGUUGGUUAGCAUUAGCGAAGCUGAUAACUGAAGCCCUGGUGAACGGCGGCCGUAACCAUAACGGUCCUAAGGUAGCGAAAUUCCUUGUCGGGUAAGUUCCGACCCGCACGAAAGGCGUAAUGAUUUGGAUACUGUCUCGGAGAGGGGCUCGGUGAAAUAGACUUGUCUGUGAAGAUGCGGACUACCUGCACCUGGACAGAAAGACCCUAUGAAGCUUUACUGUAACUUGAGAUUGAAAUUGGACUUUAUUUGCGCAGUAUAGGUGGGAGGCGUUGAGAAUAAUCUUGCGGGAUUGUUGGAGCCAUCAGUGAGAUACCACUCUUGUAAUGUUAGAUUUCUAACUUUGUAUCAUUAUCUGGUCAAAGAACAGUUUCAGGCGGGCAGUUUGACUGGGGCGGUCGCCUCCCAAAGGGUAACGGAGGCGCACAAAGGUUUCCUCUGAACGGGUAGAAAUCGUAUCUAGAGUGUAAAGGCAUAAGGAAGCUUGACUGUGAGACCUACAAGUCGAGCAGGGACGAAAGUCGGUCUUAGUGAUCUGACGGUGCUGAGUGGAAAGGCCGUCACUCAACGGAUAAAAGUUACUCUAAGGAUAACAGGCUGAUCUCCCCCAAGAGUUCACAUCGACGGGGAGGUUUGGCACCUCGAUGUCGGCUCAUCGCAUCCUGGGGCGGUAGUCCGUCCCAAGGGUUGGGCUGUUCGCCCAUGAAAGCGGUACGCGAGCUGGGUUCAGAACGUCGUGAGACAGUUCGGUCCAUAUCCGGUGUAGGCGUUAGGAUAUUGAGAGGAGCCUUCUCUAGUACGAGAGGACCGAGAAGGACAUACCUCUGGUGUACCAGUUAUCGUGCCAACGGUAAACGCUGGGUAGCUAUGUAUGGAGUGGAUAACCGCUGAAAGCAUCUAAGUGGGAAGCCCACCUCAAGAUAAGUAUUCUCAUC